UUGACCUCGGAUCAGGUAGGAAUACCCGCUGAACUUAAGCAUAUCAAUAAGCGGAGGAAAAGAAACCAACAGGGAUUGCCUCAGUAACGGCGAGUGAAGCGGCAACAGCUCAAAUUUGAAAUCUGGCCUCACGGCCCGAGUUGUAAUUUGUAGAGGAUGUUUUGGGUACCGCCGCGGUUUAAAUUUCUUGGAACAGAAUGUCAAAGAGGGUGAGAAUCCCGUCUUGGACCGCGGUAGGGCCUGUGUAAAACUCCUUCGACGAGUCGACUUGUUUGGGAAUGCAGGUCAAAAUGGGUGGUAAAUUUCAUCUAAAGCUAAAUAUUGGCCAGAGACCGAUAGCGCACAAGUAGAGUGAUCGAAAGAUGAAAAGCACUUUGAAAAGAGAGUUAAACAGUAUGUGAAAUUGUUGAAAGGGAAGCGCUGGCAACCAGACUCGUGCGCGGGGUUCCCCUCAGUUUCGGCUGGGGCUACUUCCCCGUGUCCGGGCCAUCAUCAGUUUUGGGGGUCGGUCAAAGGUUUCAGGAAUGUAUCCACGCCUUCGGGGGUGGACUUAUAGCCUGGAGCGUCAUGCGGCCACCUGGGACUGAGGAACGCGCUUCGGCGAGGAUGAUGGCGUAAUGGUUGUCAGCGACCCGUCUUGAAACACGGACCAAGGAGUCUAACAUCUAUGCGAGUGUUCGGGUGUCAAACCCUUGCGCGGAAUGAAAGUGAACGGAGGUAGGAAGGCUUUAGCCUGCACUAUCGACCGAUCCGGAUGUCUUCGGAUGGAUUUGAGUAAGAGCAUAGCUGUUGGGACCCGAAAGAUGGUGAACUAUGCGUGAAUAGGGUGAAGCCAGAGGAAACUCUGGUGGAGGCUCGCAGCGGUUCUGACGUGCAAAUCGAUCGUCAAAUUUGCGUAUAGGGGCG
rnacentral:rRNA from 1 species